rnacentral:rRNA from 1 species
AUUGAACGCUGGCGGCAGGCUUAACACAUGCAAGUCGAGCGAGCGGCGGACGGGGGAGUAAUGCUUAGGUAUCUGCCACUUCGUGGGGGACAACAUCACGUAAGGGAAGCUAAUACCGCAUCCUAAUAGAUGAGCCUAAGUCGGAGUAGCUAGUUGGUGGGGUAAGGGCCUACCAAGGCGACGACCCGUAGCCGGUCUGAGAGGAUGAUCAGCCACACUGGGACUGAGACACGGUCCAGACUCCUACGGGAGGCAGCAGUGGGGAAUAUUGCACAAUGGGCGAAAGCCUGAUGCAGCCAUGCCGCGUGUGUGAAGAAGGCUUCGGGUUGUAAAGCACUUUCAGCGGGGAGGCGUUACCCGCAGAAGAAGCACCGGCUAACUCCGUGCCAGCAGCCGCGGUAAUUC